rnacentral:lncRNA from 1 species
UGGUGAUCCGGAUUAAGUAUGAGAUGGAGUGAGAUGUAGAUGGAGAGGAGUGUGGAAGUCUCACGUAUUCUGGGUGAUACCCGAAGUGUCCAGAUGGGUUCCGAGGUGAGCGUAGGGUUAGUAGGAGAGAUAAAUCUAGUAUGUGUGGAGCUCAUCUUCGGGAGAUGGCAUAUAGAGCAAGUGUUCACUUACCUGAAGGAUCUGGAGAACUUAAAGUUUAUGGACGAAG